AGAACGAACGCUGGCGGCAGGCUUAACACAUGCAAGUCGAACGGGCGUCGCAAGACGUCAGUGGCAGACGGGUGAGUAACGCGUGGGAACGUACCCUUCGGUUCGGAAUAACCCGGGGAAACUCGGGCUAAUACCGGAUACGUCCGCAAGGAGAAAGAUUUAUCGCCGAAGGAUCGGCCCGCGUCGGAUUAGCUAGUUGGUGGGGUAAUGGCCACCAAGGCGACGAUCCGUAGCUGGCUGAGAGGAUGAUCAGCCACACUGGGACUGAGACACGGCCCAGACUCCUACGGGAGGCAGCAGUGGGGAAUAUGGACAAUGGGCGAAAGCCUGAUCCGAGCCGAUGCCGCGUGAGUGAAGAAGGCCUUAGGGUUGUAAAGCUCUUUCAGGCGGGAAGAUAAUGACAGUACCCGCAGAAGAAGUCCCGG
rnacentral:rRNA from 1 species